rnacentral:rRNA from 1 species
AGUGAACGCUGGCGGUAGGCCUAACACAUGCAAGUCGAACGGCAGCACAGUAAGAGCUUGCUCUUACGGGUGGCGAGUGGCGGACGGGUGAGGAAUACAUCGGAAUCUACUUUUUCGUGGGGGAUAACGUAGGGAAACUUACGCUAAUACCGCAUACGACCUACGGGUGAAAGCAGGGGAUCUUCGGACCUUGCGCGAUUGAAUGAGCCGAUGUCGGAUUAGCUAGUUGGCGGGGUAAAGGCCCACCAAGGCGACGAUCCGUAGCUGGUCUGAGAGGAUGAUCAGCCACACUGGAACUGAGACACGGUCCAGGCUCCUACGGGAGGCAGCAGUGGGGAAUAUUGGACAAUGGGCGCAAGCCUGAUCCAGCCAUACCGCGUGGGUGAAGAAGGCCUUCGGGUUGUAAAGCCCUUUUGUUGGGAAGGAAAAGCAGCAGGUUAAUACCCCGCUGUUCUGACGGUACCCAAAGAAUAAGCACCGGCUAACUUCGUG